AUACUUACCUGGCAGGGGAGAUACCAUGAUCACGAAGGUGGUUUUCCCAGGGCGAGGCUUAUCCAUUGCACUCCGGAUGUGCUGACCCCUGCGAUUUCCCCAAAUGUGGGAAACUUGGCUGCAUAAUUUGUGGUAGUGGGGGACUGCGUUCGCGCUCUCCCCUG
rnacentral:snRNA from 1 species